rnacentral:rRNA from 1 species
AGAGUUUGAUCCUGGCUCAGAGUGAACGCUGGCGGCGUGCUUAACACAUGCAAGUCGAACGAGAACGGGUAUUAGCUUGCUAAUACUGUCAGCUAAGUGGCGCACGAGUGAGUAAUAUAUAGGUAACGUGCCUUCAAGAAGGGGAUAACGUUUGGAAACGAACGCUAAUACCCUAUAUGCCUUUAAGUCUUAAGACUGCAAGGGAAAUAUUUAUAGCUUGAAGAUCGGCCUGUACGGUAUCAGCUUGUUGGUGAGGUAAUGGCUCACCAAGGCUAUGACAUCUAACUGGUUUGAGAGGAUGAUCAGUCACACUGGAACUGAGACACGGUCCAGACUCCUACGGGAGGCAGCAGUGGGGAAUAUUGCACAAUGGACGAAAGUCUGAUGCAGCAACGCCGCGUGGAGGAUGACACAUUUCGGUGCGUAAACUCCUUUUAUAUAGGAAGAUAAUGACGGUACUAUAUGAAUAAGCACCGCUAAC